AACUGAUACUACCUGCGGGAACCUGCGGAGGGAUCAUUACUGAGGUGAUUUGGGGAUGUUGCUGGCCCUCUCUCAAGGGGGGGCACUGUGCACUCCUCGAAACAAUUCACAAUUUCCAUCACACCCCUUGUGCACACCUUGUAGGCACCCAAACCCACCUCCGGGUGGUGGGGUCCUAUGUAUUCCUUCAUCUCACACUCUGUUGAAUGGUGCCAUGGGACGCAUCUAAAGGAUUAUUUG
rnacentral:misc_RNA from 1 species